UUUUGUUGUUGUUGGUUUUUUUUGUUUUGUUUUCAUUAUCAAAUGCGGUAGUCUUUAAGUGGGAAGGAAAAAACAGCUAAAAGUCGGUGGAAACAAAAAGGAGAAAAGCUAGAAGUUUGGAGACUACAAGCCUCAGAAGCGCCGAGCGAAAAUAGAAAUUAGGCAGCCUAUAGGUGGGCUCCGCUCAGCGCCCAGAGUCGUGCUCAGAUUGGCCGCUCUCCUGCCUCUCGCUUUUCCUUCCAGUCUCGCGCCAAAUUUCUGUCGUGCUGAACAAAAUCGACACUUUUCCCUUGCAGUUUUUGGCAACCGAAGCUUUCAAGGCGCUAAACUCAAGUUCCAGAAACUGCCUUCAGCCGUUCGUCCCGAUUUCCCGCAACGCAGGCCCCCGCCCCCUGCUCAGGCUGGGAUCCUGGACACCACUUGUGCGCUGUGAUAAGAAGGCCUUGAUCUCACUUCGCUCCUAGCCCCCAACACCUGAUCCUCCGACGCUCCUGCUCUGUUCCAGCGUGAGAUCCAGUGGAAGGAAAACGGAGCCUGCCAGGACUUCAGCCUUCAUGUGCGUCAGUGUCACCAAUUUGUAAAAACAAACUAAUAAAAUCCCUCCCUGGCUGUGAGAGCAAAACAGCAUUUUGACACCAGCACAGGGUGUUAAAAAGAAGUCUUUUUGUUAAGUCAGACAUAGAGUAGAAUUUGUGAAAGAUUCUUUAAAGGCUGUUGAUACCUUAGCACCUUUACUCUCCAGGAAUUAAAGGAUUUGUCAAAAAGAGUGACUAAAAAUUCCUAUCUCGAGGUAAAAAUAAAAAUAAAAAACAACUACUUAAACUAUGGGAAUAAUGCCUCUGGAAAGAUACACAAGAAACCCAUUGCCUUCAUAGAGGGGGACUAGAUGGCCCAAGUAUAGGAAUGCAUUAAUCCCCAGGACGUGUCAUUACCUGGAAAGGAAAUACAACUGAGUGGCUGAAGUAAUACAAGUUGACUCCAUGCCCAGGAUGCAGCCCAACCCCCUUGAACUCAUGACCCUGAGAUCAAGACCUGAGUUGAGAUCAAGAGUCAAACAGUUAACCAACUGAGUCACCCAGAUGCCCUCCCACCGCUUUUCUUUAAGUAAGCUCUAUGCCCAAUGUGAGGCCUGAACUCAGGACCCCAAGAUCAAAAGUCACAUGCUCCACCGACGGAGACAGCCAGGCGCUCUCUAUCACAUUAUGUAUAUAGUAGAUACUUUGUAAUAUUGAUGAAAUGAUUAAUUGAAGACCUAAUACAAAAAUAACCUUAAUAUCCUUAAAAAGCUUAUCACCAAAUAGGUGAGAUAAUACAAAUGCACAAAAAAAGUAUUAUAAUGCUGGGUUUGUAAAAUAAAAAAUUUUAUACCAGUUUCUAUAGAAAGAGAG